UUAUAUAAGAUUAUACUUAGUCCACACGAUAAGUAUAAUUUUUGUACACUAAUAAAAAUCUUUCACAUUUGUUUUAAAGUGGUGGCGAAAUGUUUAAUUUCUAAAAAACAAUUGAACUUCUCAACAGUCGGUUGCUCUCUUUGCGCAAAUAUUGCAAAUAUGUCGUUUGUAGUGCCAAGUAUAAUAUGAAAUUCUAACACGUAUAUUAAGUUAUGUUUUUUAUAAAGAUUUUUAUAAAUAUCUAGUAUAUACAUCAGGGUAUAUACUGCUGAGAAAACCAUGGAAAUCUAGAAAUUUUAGGGAUAUUUUUUUGUUCUUAAAAAAUAUGGAUUUUUAUAAAAUUUUAUUGGAACUCAAGAAAAUUUUUUAAAUGUUGAAUUUAAGUUUUAUUUCUUCCUUUAUAACCAAAUUCUUUUAUUAUUUUUUCUAAUUUUUAUUAUAUUAAAUGUCAAUCAACAAUCAAUUAACAAUAAAUAUGGGAUGCCAUAUUUACAUAAUAUGCAAUGUAUAUACCUUUUUGUGUAACUCGUAAAUUUUUAUUUAAAAAAUUUGUGACCAUAAAAAAUUGUUCUACAUUGAUGUAUUAUUACGUUUCAUGUUCUAAAUUUUUAGUGAGUUACAUUGUUGCGGACAAUUAAUUGUUACAAUUCGCUAUUUAUAUAGUUAAUAUUUUUUUUCAGUACUGUUUUGAAAUUUAAUUUAAAACUUGAGUAAUUUUUUGUCUGAUGAAGAAACUUUGAAAGAUAAUAAAAUAAAAUUUAAAAGAAUUACAAUUAUUGCUCAGUUAUGCUAAACAAUAAAAUAUUAAAUUUAGGUCAAAAAACGAGCAAACAAUUAUAAUUCGUUUGCUUGUAUUUCGACUUAAAUUUAAUAUUGCUUAUAUAAUAAUAAAAUAAAUUUAUUUCAAAAUUGCAUUAAAAAAUUCUUUAUGUUAUAUACUACUUUUAUGCUAUGUAAGUAAUACAAAAUUUUGGUUGCAGUAAUGAGUUUUUACUCUUAUUUUUUAGAUAAAAGUUCAAAAAAUUUGAACACAGUGAAACGGCUUUGUUAGAUCCUUCAAAUUUAACAAAAGAUCUAACUGUAGUACAACUAAAUGAGGAACUUAUAAGUUUGGUGCAACAACGUCCGGCCUUACAUGAUUAUCGCACACCAUGUUCUGAAAAAACAAAAUUAAAAAGAAAAAAUCUUUGGCAAGAAAUCAGUAAUUGUUUAGAAGGAGUAUAUUAACCUCUUGAAGCUGAAAAAAGAUGGCAAUACUUGAGAAAUUGCUAUUUAAAAGCCAGAAAAAAUUUUAAGAAACUAUUAAACACAGAAAAAA